GCCCCCAUCGUCUAGCGGCCCAGGACGUGGCCCUCUCAAGGCCAAAACACGAGUUCGAAACUCGUUGGGGGCA
rnacentral:tRNA from 1 species